UGCGCGCACCGCUGGAGGGUGCAUUGACACCGCCCUGGUCGCCUAGCCUAGGAGAACGCCGUCCCGGGGACACCUGCCGUGAGGUCCUACCAGAAAGCAAAUCAGGAAAUUCCAUCCAAACACAGGAAAGAAGCAGGCCCGGGGGCUUGGAGAUGAUAAAUGGUGGUUCUCAAAGUGUGUUCCCCAGACCAACAACGUCAACAACACCAAGGAGCUUCCUGGAAAUGCAAGUUCUUGGAUCCCACCUAGACCUACUACACCAGAAACUCUGAGGGCCAGCAAUCAGUUUUUAACAAGAUUACCAGGUGAUUCUGAUACAUACUGAAAUUUGAGACCCACUGGUCUAGAAGAACAUGACCCCUGGAGGGAAGACAGACAGGUGGAAAUCAUAAUUCGUUGUGAAAUGGUGGAAUUUGGGAAGAGUUAAUUGCCAUUAAAACACUCACUGUCAUCAGGUUUUCAAAUGUUUCAGGCUUACAGAUUUGUUGCUUCAGUUAAUUAUAACAAAGACCUACACUGGCCAGAGAGGUUAUAGAAAUGAAAGAAGGGACCAUUAUUUAAAAAAAAAAAAAAGCAAACAAGAAACAUGAACUUCUCGGGUUUCCUUUUAUUUUUACAGUUUUGAUGAAAAGUGACUGCAGACAUAUUACUUGACUGUAAAAACAACAUCCAUGCAAAAGUGACCAUAUGGACCAACUAGCAUUCAGUCUCUAGGCAGAGCAGCCAUAAGGAGUGGUGAGGGCUGCAGUCAGCUCAGGAGUAUGUGCUGGAUCUAAAGGUGGUAGCAGCUACUUAGAUCUAGCUAUGCAGAAAUGUGGGUGCAGAUCUUUCGAUUUCAAAGAUGAGGAGAUACAUCUAGAUCAAUAUUUG
rnacentral:lncRNA from 1 species